UGAAAUCGAAAAAUCGAAACCUUAUUGAAACGAUAACAAUAAGCAUCGAUAAUCGACAAGUAAUUAUCGAUAAGUAUCAAAAUUGAAUCGAUGCCCAACACGAGAUAAGGAUGGUUAAAUUGCAUUGUAGAGUUUGUACUUAACUCAAUGUAGUAGUCAUACACGUAGUAUAACUCUAAAUCAUUUGUAGUACCUAUCACUUAGCCUAGUUUUUCAUUUGGUUUGUGACCUGUAUAAACGCAGUCACUAGUGGAUUUGUAAUACAUGUGAAAACACAUGAUGCUGAAUAUAACUCCUUCUCAAUCUUGUGAUUUUCUACAUGUUAUCAGAGAUUUCUGAAGAUACGCUGCCCACACCAAAAAUAAGAUCAAACAUGGCCAUAACAACACCCUCAUUCCCUUUGUGUUUAUCCCCUACUUCUCUGCUUCAUCUGAUUGCCUUCUGUCCAGUUAAGUUGAAACCAUCGGACAAUUUAAAUUGGAGGACACAAUACUCCAGUUGAUUCAGGUAAUGAAUGUGACAACCCUGAUCAAGGAAGGCAAGCCAGACACAAGCAAUUCAUGUACUUCUGUUAGUGCUGAUAAGUGUGUCGAAUGUGAUGACAAUACUAACCGGAAGGAAAAACAUGUGCUCCGAAAGAGUUGGAUCUCUGGAAUAAUGACUGAGGAAAUCAUGUAUCUCAUUGUGGGAUGUUCAACUGCUAAAGAAAUAUGGGAAUGUUGGGACGAAGCAUAUCUACAGACAACUAAUGACAAGGAAUUUCAACUUAAGCAAUAGCUACAGAACAUCAAGCUAGGAACCAAAAGGCUUGAUGAAUAUAUGAAGGAGUUCAAAGUCAUAUGUUUCAGCCAUACACAAGCCAAUUGAUGGAGACAACAAAGUGAUCAACUUUGCUAGAGGAGUUGGUCCAAAGUACAAGACUUUUAGGACUAUCAUACUAGGAAAGGCCCCAUAUCCUACCAUGCACUAGUUUGUUAAUGCUCUUAGAGGAUUUAAGGAGAUGAAGAAGAAAUGGCUCAAAUAUAUAUUCGAUAUGGCCUUUGCUGCUCAAAGUGGAAGAGGUUGUGAAGGUUACUCUAACAGAAGAGGAAACUCAAACUUCUCAUCAAGAAGAAGAGGUUUCGGACCUGCGGGACAAGGUAGUAAUCAGAUAAAUCAAGCUACUCAGAACACUGCAAAUUCAAGUCAACUAACGGAAGGAAAAUUGCCAAAUAUGUGAAAAAACAAUCACACAACCUUAAAAUGCUUUUACAUGUGGGACUAUUCCUACCAUGCUAUAGAGGAUUUGCCAUAGGCCUUUUCUGCUGUUAAUCUGCAAAAUAUAGAGGCUGAAGAUGAAACUAUGUAUGUUGACUCUAGUGCAAGCAGUCACAUAACUAAUUCAACAGGUAAUAUGUCAAACCUUCAACCUUAUAAUGGUUCUGAUAAAAUAAUAGUUGGAGAUGGCUCUAAACUUGACAUCACACAUAUUGGCAAUACAACAAAAUCUGGGUUUUAAGUACAGAAAAUUCUUGUUGUUCCUAAGAUUAAAAAGAAACUGAUGUCAGUUAGUAAGCUUGCUAAGAACAAUUCUUGUAUACUUAAGUUUGAUGAAUCUAGUUUUGUUGUAAAGGACAAGAUCUCAAGGAGAUUUUUGGCCAAGGGAUCUAAGAAGAAUGAUCUAUAUGCAUUAGAAGACAAUAACUUUUAUGCCCUGUCACACCUUUUUUUUACCUACACUCGCAGGGGGCGUAAGGGGAUUUAAGAGAGUUUUUUCAAUUAAAGGACAAUCGAAACGGAAUUUAUUAUUAAGAUUCAGAGUCGUCACUUGGGAAAUUUAUGGUAUCCCAAUUCACCGGUUGAAUCCCGAAUCGAGGAAAAAGAUUGAUUCUGUAUUACAGUUCGCAACCAGAAAUUUGAUAAAGAAUUCUGUUAACCCGGGAGAAGGUGUUAGGCAUUCCUGAGUUCCCUAGUUCUAUCACGGUCGCUCAAUUGUUAUAUUCAACGUAUUUAUCUGAUUUUUAAAAUAUGAAGUACAUUUAUUUAAACUAAAGUUAAAGCCAAAAGCGAAAGUUAAAGCUGAAGUUUAAGGAAAAGGAAAAGGAAAAGGAAAAGUUAAAGCGAAAGUUAAAGCUAAAGUUUAAAAGAAAAGCAAAAGCAAAAGUUAAAGCAAAAGUUAAAGUUAAAGCUAAAGCUAAAGUGAAAGUUAAAGCAAAAAUGGUGAGUUCCGUGGUUGUAGCACGGUCGCCCAACUGUUGUAUUUGGCUUAAAUUAUCUGAUUUUAACACCAAUGGAAUUAUAUGCAUUUAACUAUUUUACCGUUAUUAUUAUUAUUAUUAUUAUUAUUAUUAUUAUUGUUAUUUUAAAAGAAUUACAACGUCAUGGAAAUGCAUUUCGAACCACAUUACAAUCAAUGUACCCGUGAUUAUCAACACAUUCCGACUUCGUUGAGAUUUGGAUUUGGGUUACAUAAAUGUACACCCGAGUUUAAAGAUGUAAUGUUAUUUAAAGUACACACCUAAAGAGACUAACGCAUUAUUAUUUUAGAAAAAGACCGUGAAAUUAGCUAAGCGGCCGAUCUCGAGUUCUAAAUAAUUAAUAUAUACAUUUAUGAGGGCCCCCGCAGUUUGUACGUCUUAUUUGGCGAGGCGAGGCUCAUCUUAUUGUUAAAAGGCAAACCUAAAAGCAACUACGAUUCUCUACUUUAUUUGUCUCUAAAAAGAGAAAUUCUAAUUUAUUCACUAAGAUUAUAGAGUCAUUAUAAUCAGGUUACAUAAAAUGUACUCCCGAAUUUUAGUGAUUAAACGUCACAACUACGUCACGUGAACCGUAGCCGUAGCCGUGAUAAUUUAAUUAUGCUAACUACGAAAUUAAACAACUCUUAAACAUAUUUACUAUGGAAAACUAGGCUAGCAGCAUAUUAUCAUCUUCACUAAACAAUAUCCACUCAAAGUAUUCCAUCAAGUCUAACAAUUUAUCAGAAUUUAAGAGAAAACUAAGAACCUACGGACAUUUUUGCGAUUUUCAAAUCAUCACUGAAAUCAAACUUUAUUUCUUAACAUUGUUAAUCUACUAUAAUAGUUAUGAGCUUGCCAAAGGAAUUAAAAUUAGCGAUUCAUGCUCAUCACAAAAGAAAAAUUAGUUAAACUUCAAUAUAUACUAAACAGGAACCAAAUUUAUGCAUUAACCAUGAGUAAGGUGGGAUUUCAUAUUUCUUCUUUUCAAAAUUCAGUAAGUCAACCAAACAAUCAACGUAGGCUUCGGAAGAUUUCAAAUAACGGAGUGGUUUAAAACUUUUAAGAGCCCAAUCAAAAAUGCAACAUCAACUAACAACAAAACGAAAAGAAAAAUGACCUUUGUAUUGAUGAGUCUGCGUCCGAACUACAACCACCGGACAAUUUCUUAACAGAACAUUCACCGACUACCUCGACCGGAAAAACUCAAACAGAACCGCAACUCGAUACCUCAACGGAAACCUCGACGAACAAUGACGACCUCAACGGCUCGAUGACCAGAAAACUCUCAUACGCUGUCACUGUUUCAGGUUAGUCGUGGUGCGGCUGUCGUUGGGCUGUUCGUGGUUGACGAAGUG
rnacentral:lncRNA from 1 species